ensembl:lincRNA Gm45218 predicted gene 45218
GAUGCCAACUCCAGAGGAGCCAACAGUGCCUGCAGAUGAACAGGAGAGGUCUGGGCCGCCAGGGUGGAGGAGGGAGCAUCCCACUGUGUGACCCUGCUACUGGCUGCGGUCCUUGCCCCGCUCUUGCUCAUCAUUUCCUGGACGAAGACUACAACGAUGAUAGAAACAUCCACUGUGAAUGACAGGGGAUUACAGUGAAGACAUUGCCUUGAGUCUCAGAAGGACUGUGGACUUCUAAACAGUGUUGAGAUUUAAAGACUAUGGAGACUUUCGAAGUUGGACUAAAUGUAUUUCGCCAGACCAAGAAGCUGAAUGUGUUGGUUUGAAUGAGAGUACUCUCUCAGCCCCCUCUUCUCAUAGUUUGGAAUACUUGGUCCCCAGUUGCUAGGACUGUUGGGGAGGGGUUAGGAGAUGUGGUCCUGUUGGAGGAAGUGUGACACUAGAGACAGGCUUGAGGUUUCAAAAGACUCAUACCAUUCCCAGCAUGCUCUCUGCCUCCUGCUUGCAGAUCAAGACGUGAGCUCUUGGUUGCUGCUCCAGCCACCUGACCCUCUGGAAUCAUAAGCCCAAUUAAACUUUCUUUUAUAAGUUUCAUUGAUCAUGGUGUGUUAGCAAUAGAAGAAUAACUAAGACGCUCCUUCAAACAACACACUUUCCCAAAUACCCACCGCACAACUGCUGCUACUCAGGGUACCACAAAGCCAGGUAAUUCUGUGCAGGUCACAGAAACAGAUUCUUAGGGGACAUGCAAAUCCGAAAAAAAGGCAGGAGUAAGGGAAGGAGGGACCAUCAGAGAGAGCAGCACAGAGCAGUGAUGACAAGAUGACAAGACCGCAGGAGAAGGUAAUCUAGGCCAGAGGAAUAGCUUAUACAAAGGUCCUGAGGCAGGACUAAGCAGCAACACUGAAGAAUGGCCAAUAAGAGUGUGGUUGGAACACCGUGAGCAAGGAGUUCAGGGAGUGUGGGAGCAAAAGCAAAGACACCCCCAUUUCUUCUCUUCCCCUCAGCACCCCCACCUGCCCUGUAUCCUCUUCUUUCUCAUUUCCAGCUCCUACCCUGAGGAAGACAAGACAAAUAUUCCCCUGGCCGGAGGCUAGACCCCUUCUCAGUGGACGCUGUCCUGACCUCUCCUGCUCCUGAAAGCCCUGUCCCACGCUGUUCCCUGCUUUCCCCUACCCGGCUGUCUGCUCCAGUCUGCUCUUUCAGAUCCAGAUGAGACCCUGUCUCUCCCAGAAACCUGCUCUGGUGGCCCAGGGUACCUCAGCAGCCACACCUCCCCCACCUCCAAGAUCGUACGCUCCAGGAGUCACAGAAGUAGCCAGCUCCUCUCUGUGUCCCUGUCUAAUCAUGGUCCAAGAAUGGAGCUGUGUGAGGAGAAUUCUGAGGGCUUAUGAGAAAACUCCAAGAAAACAAAAAGAGUUUUGUGUCCGCCGUUUCUUCAAAACACAGAAUUGUUCUUGGAAUGUAUGUGUUUCUCUGUCCUUCCCAGGUAGGAGCAAGCUUAGUUGAGGUCAUUCUUUAUAAUUGGCCACUAUCAUUUGUUCAUAUGCCUCUAUGGAAAAUGUGGUUUUGCUACAUGAGGCUUGUCCUUGUGAUUACACACCUUAUUCAUAUGAUUUUUUUCUUAAUCUUCGCAGUAAAAAAAAAAUCUGAUAUUCCGAAUAAAGUUGUCUAUUAUUGCA